rnacentral:rRNA from 1 species
CUACGGGGGGCUGCAGUGGGGAAUCUUGCACAAUGGGCGCAAGCCUGAUGCAGCAACGCCGCGUGAGUGAAGAAGGCUCUUGGGUCGUAAAUCUCUUUCGGCUGGGAAGAAGGGUCAGAAGGUUAAGAGCUAUUUGAUUUGACGGUACCAGAAGAAGAAGCACUGGCUAAUUCCGUGCCAGCAGCCGCGGUAAUACGGAAGGUGCAAGCGUUGUUCGGAUUGACUGGGCGUAAAGAGCACGUAGGCGGGUUCGUAAGUCGGAUGUGAAAUCCCCGGGCUUAACCUGGGAACUGCAUUCGAACUGCGAGUCGUGAAUAACGGAGGGGUUAGUGGAAUUCCUGGUGUAGGAGUGAAAUCCGUAGAUAUCAGGAGGAAUACCGGAGGCGAAGGCGACUAGCUGGCAGAUUAUUGACGCUGAGGUGCGAAAGCGUGGGUAGCAAACAGGAUUAGAUACCCUUGUAGUC